rnacentral:rRNA from 1 species
AGUGAACGCUGGCGGUAGGCCUAACAUAUGCAAGUCGAACGGCAGCACAGUAAGAGCUUGCUCUUACGGGUGGCGAGUGGCGGACGGGUGAGGAAUACAUCGGAAUCUACUUUUUCGUGGGGGAUAACGUAGGGAAACUUACGCUAAUACCGCAUACGACCUACGGGUGAAAGCAGGGGAUCUUCGGACCUUGCGCGACUGAAUGAGCCGAUGUCGGAUUAGCUAGUUGGCGGGGUAAAGGCCCACCAAGGCGACGAUACGUAGCUGGUCUGAGAGGAUGAUCAGCCACACUGGAACUGAGGCACGGUCCAGACUCCUACGAGAGGCAGCAGUGUGGAAUAUUGGACAAUGGGCGCAAGCCUGAUCCAGGCAUACCGCGUGGGUGAAGAAGGCCUGCAGGUUGUAAAGCCCUUUUGUUGGGAAAGAAAAGCAGCAGGUUAAUACCCCGCUGUUCUGACGGUACCCAAAGAAUAAGCACCGGCUGACUUCGUG